GACGAACGCUGGCGGCGUGCUUAACACAUGCAAGUCGAACGGAAAGGCCCUGCUUUUGUGGGGUGCUCGAGUGGCGAACGGGUGAGUAACACGUGAGUAACCUGCCCUUGACUUUGGGAUAACUUCAGGAAACUGGGGCUAAUACCGGAUAGGAGCUCCUGCUGCAUGGUGGGGGUUGGAAAGUUUCGGCGGUUGGGGAUGGACUCGCGGCUUAUCAGCUUGUUGGUGGGGUAGUGGCUUACCAAGGCUUUGACGGGUAGCCGGCCUGAGAGGGUGACCGGCCACAUUGGGACUGAGAUACGGCCCAGACUCCUACGGGAGGCAGCAGUGGGGAAUAUUGCACAAUGGGCGGAAGCCUGAUGCAGCAACGCCGCGUGCGGGAUGACGGCCUUCGGGUUGUAAACCGCUUUCGCCUGUGACGAAGCGUGAGUGACGGUAAUGGGUAAAGAAGCACCGGCUAACUACGUGCCAACAGCCGCGGUGAUACGUAAGGUGCGAGCGUUGUCCCGAUUUAUUGGGCGUAAAGGGCUCCUAAGUGGUUGAUCGCGUCGGAAGUGUAAUCUUGGGGCUUAACCCUGAGCGUGCUUUCGAUACGGGUUGACUUGAGGAAGGUAGGGGAGAAUGGAAUUCCUGGUGGAGCGGUGGAAUGCGCAGAUAUCAGGAGGAACACCAGUGGCGAAGGCGGUUCUCUGGGCCUUUCCUGACGCUGAGGAGCGAAAGCGUGGGGAGCGAACAGGCUUAGAUACCCUGGUAGUCCACGCUGUAAACGGUGGGUACUAGGUGUGGGGUCCAUUCCACGGGUUCCGUGCCGUAGCUAACGCUUUAAGUACCCCGCCUGGGGAGUACGGCCGCAAGGCUAAAACUCAAAGGAAUUGACGGGGCCCCGCACAAGCGGCGGAGCAUGCGGAUUAAUUCGAUGCAACGCGUAGAACCUUACCUGGGUUUGACAUGGAUCGGGAGCGCUCAGAGAUGGGUGUGCCUCUUUUGGGGUCGGUUCACAGGUGGUGCAUGGCUGUCGUCAGCUCGUGUCGUGAGAUGUUGGGUUAAGUCCCGCAACGAGCGCAACCCUUGUUCACUGUUGCCAGCACGUUAUGGUGGGGACUCAGUGGAGACCGCCGGGGUCAACUCGGAGGAAGGUGGGGAUGACGUCAAGUCAUCAUGCCCCUUAUGUCCAGGGCUUCACGCAUGCUACAAUGGCUGGUACAGAGAGUGGCGAGCCUGUGAGGGUGAGCGAAUCUCGGAAAGCCGGUCUCAGUUCGGAUUGGGGUCUGCAACUCGACCUCAUGAAGUCGGAGUCGCUAGUAAUCGCAGAUCAGCAACGCUGCGGUGAAUACGUUCCCGGG
rnacentral:rRNA from 1 species